GCGGGCAGAACUUGGGUGGCUGGUGGAAAGCGCCCACAUGGCAGUAGGGCUCAGGUGGCUUUUGGCAAAAAGAUUUAUCAUAACACAAGAUGAGAGUAGUGGCAAGCUAGUUAAACCCUCAUGUAUGCAAACAGUGUGCUGAAAACUAAACGUCAAAUGUGUCCACUUAUGCAAACAGUUAUUUCUAAUUAUAUAUGUGUGUACCUCUUCUGGACAUAGUGAAAUGGCAGCGACACUCGGGAAAAUGUUUCAGAAUCCAGGGAAUCAGUUAUUAGGAACUUUCAGAUAUAGGCAACAAGAAACUUAACUCAAAUUACUUUUAAAAAUUCAUUGUCUAGAAAGACUGCAAAAGAUACUUCUGAGAUUUUAGAAUUGAGUGAAGGAAGAGAGUAAAGAGAAGUAGAGAGGGAAGGGAGUGAAUACAAAAGGACAGGAGGAGGAGAGGGGGAGUGUGUGGAGAGAGAGGGAGGAAGUAAGUAGAGGGCAGAGGAAAGGGUCCCUGAAGGGAGAAGAGAGAGUGAAGAAGCAGGGCAGCACAGGCAAGAGCGGCAUAGAUGUGGGGUCUGCAAGCUUAGAGGCUCUGGAUGAAGGAUUCUCCCUUCAUCUUCUUCUGUCUCAUCCAGAUUCUCCCUUGUCUAGGACAUGGGGUAUCCUGUGCUUCCGGGGUGCUACAGAAAGGACUUCACCUAGUAGAGACAUAUGCCCACUGAUGGAUAAUCCAGGUUGCCUGUGGAUGAAGUGCAAUGCUCUGCCAUGUCCUUCAGCAUGAGGAAUGGAAAAAAGUCUCAAUUUCUGCAGAGUAUACAUUGGACAGGGAAGUGCAUGUGGCCUUGCAAACUGAAGAAUUCAGCUGCUGAAAUCUGUUCCAAGAAGUAGAGACUGCAUUUGGAGGGUGUGGCUUGCGGGUUUCACUUACUGUUGAAAUAGAGGAUGACUUCCAAAAAACUGACAGGAGCACAGAGCCUGUGUCAUCUCCAUUCCCAGUGAUUUCUCUUUGAUUGAUGUGCCAUUAAUGCUUUAAUUGGCAACAGGUGCGGAUGAUUGCUGUUUCCUAUGCUGAGAAAUGUGAAAUUGAACAUAAGGUUCUGAUAAAUUAAUAAACUCCUCUGC